GGAGGGGUGCCGGAGUGGUCGAACGGGGCGGUCUCGAAAACCGAUCACUCCCACCCCCUUCC
rnacentral:tRNA from 1 species